CCGCCGGCCCCUCGCGACGAUAGACCGAAAACCCCGCCAGGGCCGGAAGGCAGCAACGGUAUUGGUCGACUCGGGUGCCGAGGCAAGCUGGCGGGGC
rnacentral:SRP_RNA from 1 species